UACUAUGCUUUAAAACAAACAGAGGGAAACUUAAUUAAAAUCAACUAUCCCCCCUUUCAAUAUCUUCUACAGGUACUGCCCUGCUACAGGAAGUCAGUACCCAGGGAAGUCAAUAAAAGCUUCCCUCACCAACAUGGCUGGUUCCCCACUUCCUGUCAAGAUGGAGGACCAUACCACCACACCCAACUCAGGACACUCCCAACCACAGGCCUCCAGUCCUGAUACCCCAGGGAAAACUCAAGCGAGGAAGACCAAAAAACACCUGGAGGAGCACUGUUGAGGCAGAUCUGAAAGACAUGCAUAUGAGGUGGGGAGAGGCGGAGAAGGUGGACAAAGAUAGAUCAUU